UUAAAUUGUAAAAAUGAUCCAUUUUUUUAAAAAGUGAGGGGGUAUGAAUUAUUUUUGAAGCAAACGUCAUUCUAAAUGACAGUCUCAAAGACACUGUAGUCAUAUUUUACUCUAUUAGCUUCUUUUUGUGAAUUGAUGUUUUUGAUAAUAUUUCAGAAGACACUCAACAAAUUUCAAUUCACCAAGGACUAAUUCACCAAUUGUGGGGCUUAACCAAAAAUAUCUAGUAGUAUUUAAGAAUGAAGGGACACGCAUCCAUCUUUUUUAUUCCAAAAAAUUAUCAUUUAUUCCUCUGUAUCAAUUUGCCAGGACAACUGAAGAUGACGCAAAACACCUCAUUCUCAACUGCCCUGCAAAUUUUACUAGUGCCUCCUGGUUUUCUCUGUACCGCAGUUGUCGUAGUCCUUUGACACAGCAGAUCCUGAAAGCUCCACAAGCAGCCACAAGCUACUCCACUGACGGAUGAUUAAUUAUAUUUAAUGAUCAGACAGACGUGACGGCUCAUAUUCAUGUGUAUGAAGUGUGACGUUACUCUCAUUAUUUACGGAGGUAAUGCAGUUGCGCGAACGUUAAACUGGUGUUUCUAUCAUAAUGUAGCAUGUUAGCUGACAGGCUAGUAGCAAUGCCAUGCUAUGUUAUGAUGCAGAUGGAAUUAAGGUGGGUAUGUUCCAGUAACGCUACCGUUGUGAUUCUGUGUGAUCGAUUAUCAGACCACAAUAAACAUGUUUGCUUUAACAAUGGUUUUAAACAGCCUGAUAUGUAAUGCAGUUGUUAGACAGGCUUGGAUUUCAGUGCAUUUUCACUAUGCUUCUUGCUGAACAACACCAAUCUACAAGGAGACAAAUGUACAGUGUUGCUGCAGAUCGGUGACAGAAAGCUUGGUCUGAGAAAUCGUGAUCGUUUAUUUAGUUCACAGCAUUCAUUUUCAACUGUCAGCUGAGACCUGCACUGCUCUGACUCUGCUUCGCUUCACCCACGCUUUGGGUUACAUAUGGGCAGAGCAGCUGGAAACUAGCUUCAGGAUUCCAAGAAGAAAACCAGAAAAAACAGCUGGGACAGAACGGUGGAAUGAGCACCAAGUAAUAUCAGCCAGUCACAUAUCGUCAAAGAGACUCUUGGAUGGAACAACCGUAUUGUUUUUCUGACCACUAACAGCAGAUGAAGAAAAGAAAAGGGUUUUGACUAAAUGAGGAUUUUUUCUGGCUUUCUAACAACUGUCUGCUUUGAUCCAAAAUAAAAUAGUGCUGAAC